CAGCACCUCAAGUGGUCAGGAUGAUUAUUGGGCCUAAAGCAUCCGUAGCCGGCGCUGUAAGUUUUCGGUUAAAUCUGUACGCUCAACGUACAGGCUGCCGGGAAUACUGCAGCGCUAGGGAGUGGGAGAGGUAGACGGUACUCGGUAGGAAGGGGUAAAAUCCUUUGAUCUAUUGAUGACCACCUGUGGCGAAGGCGGCCUACCAGAACACGUCCGACGGUGAGGGAUGAAAGCUGGGGGAGCAAACCGGAUUAGAUACCCGAGUAGUCC
rnacentral:rRNA from 1 species